UGGUUUCCAUAAGCUUCGUUAGCAUCCCUGCACGUUGGCUUUGUUCAUGUUUCCCUGCCUUUCCAAGUGGGGCCAGAGCAGAGAGACAGAAGUGGGCAGCCUUUGGGCCAAACCCUUCAAGCACUGCCUGUGGCUCAGAUCACGGUCCCUGACAAAGAGAUUUCCUUUUUUUGCUCCCGUUCCUGCUGCAUUUGGCCAGAGAUUCAAGGGACAGCUACAGAGAGCAAUAUGGUUCGUUCUGGGAAUAGACUUCCUCUGUCAAGGGUACUGCUUGGGUACUCCAAUGUACUAUUCACGAUUUUUGAUGCUGCUUGAAUCCUGAAAGCCCUGGGCAGCGCAUCACACUGACUGGUCCUCCCCGAAGGUGGCCCGAGUGACAGCUGAGCCUGUGGGUCCCCAUCCUCUGCCUUCACAGAGCCAGGGACUUCUUCAGCAUCGUUCCUUCGUGGAGGAAUGCAGAGCAACUGGCCAUCUCUGUAACCGCUGCCAAGAGGUGGUUAGCGUGCUCCACCACAGCCCAAGGGUUUGAAUUCCAGAGCUACACAGAUUGCCUGAAAGGCUUGCUCCCCACAGGCUGCUACCGAGCUGGUGUGUCACACUGCUCGUCCUUUCGUGAGCUGGAAAUAUUCCCUUCGGUGCAGAGAAAUGCCCCGUGGUUCCUGCGGGGAAGCGUGGUGUUGGGAGCAGCGAGAAGGCGGUGUCCUUGUGUGUGCUCCGGUGGGAGGGAGCACUGGGAUGGAAGAAAGGCCAAAGGAAAGAGCAGCUGGAGAUGUUUGAUCCCUGUUAGCAGGGAAGAUGCUGAGCCCUGGCACUGGAGUGCUGAGGUGAUAAUAGCUCAUGAGUAGCCCAUGCCGCAGGCGUGGGCAGAGAACACUGAUUUCUGGGCUAUUCACAACAAAAUCCUUGGUCAGUGAAUAUUCUCCUUCACCAAGUACAUCCAGAGGGCAGAACAAAGCAAGAAGCGAUGUCCCCAUUUAUCCCCAGUGCUAUCCUGCAGGGCAGGGCUGCAAUAAUUAAUGUUUGAGAGCGAACCCAGCUUGGUGCAUCUCACAGCCAAGUCCCCGUGAUGGCUCGGGGCUGCCCAGAAGUGUGGGGUAGAGGGGAGCAGAGAGCUGGAGCUCAUCACCAAUGUGUCCAGCAGAGCUGCCGUGUCCGAUUCCACCACAGGAAGGGGUCACGGCUCCAGCCACAUGGGACUGAAGCACCUCUCAUCCUGAUCUCGGAUUUUCUUCUUUCUCAAUUAACUUUCAGCCAGAGUUGGUUUCAGGAAAGUUGUCCCCUAGUCUGCUGAGCUGCCAGCCUGAGCUGAUUCGGAAUGAAAACCCUGCCCAAACCAGCAACACAGAUCAGGCUCUUUUCCUUGGGCUUUGGGGAAUUUAAAAAAGCAUUCUGUGACUCUGCAGCUGAGUCAGCACUGGUUGGAUAUGAAUGUGAUUUCUGUGGUCAAACUUGGCAAAAAGCUCUAAUGUUUAAUGUGCCAGUCAGCUAAAACAUGCUGCUGUGUGAGAGAUGACGCAGUGGCAUUGUGUGGCUUGGUUGGGAUUGCCAGCAUGGAUACUCCAAAAGUAUCAGAAGAAGCUUUAAUAUCCCUGUUUACAUAACAUCAUGUUGCUCGUUUCAUGCUUCAUUAAUUUCUGCAGCAAGCAGGCUACGUUCUGAGAGCAGGAAACCUCCACUCCACCCUGAAUUAUAAAAAUAGCCGGUGAUCUCUCUUGCUAAUUUGAUUACAGUGGCUACAGAAAACAAGCUGUGUUGUAUGCAAUGCUGCCUGCUCCACUGAACAGAGCCUUCUUCAGGUGGGCAUCAUCUGUCUUAAUCCCACUCGGCCAGGUUUGGAUGUUGUCUCGCUAAAUAGCCUCAGUGGGUGAAUCAGGUUGGUGAAGUUGUCUCCAGGUGAGCCCAGCACACAGCUGCGCUGGCACAACUACCAGCUGUGUUGAACUUGGGUGCUGGAGGAAUUACAAGUGGCUGGGGGCAGGACCUUUUAAAUACAGUCCUAUUGCCACAUCCCUACUUUUGGAGGGUGGAACCCUCCUGGGCUUGCCCCAGGAGUGGUUUCAGGAGGACGUAACCUUCGAGGCAGGUUUGCUGCCCUAAUCGUGGGAAGGUUUUUCAGAGAAGUGGUACCUAUGUUUAGAUUCGUUUUGACACUUUAAUCAGACUGGGGGAAAAAAAGGCCUGUCGAGCUGUUUUUAUGAGUUGUUCAAUAAUGAAAUUUUCUUUGAAGCAAGUAAAAACCCUUGGAAGGAAGGUUUUAGGAUUGUACUUUUAAAGCGUAAGCUCAGUGUAUCUAUACUUUUUCUUAAGGGUGUUUUAUUUGCUUCUGGUACUAAUUCAGGAAUUAGUCCAAAGGCCGUUUACAUAAAUGAAAAGAGUUUUAUUGACUUUGAUGGGAUUUGGAUCAUGCUGCACUAAUUAAACAGUAAAGUAUCCAUUAGCAGCGAAGAGAACAGAAGAGAGAAGAGCCAAAUACUGUUGUGAUGAACCCUGCGAAGCUGAAUGAACUGCAGCCAAGGUCUCCAUAACUUCACAGAUGAGCUUUUCCAUAUUUCCCUGCCUCAGUCUUUUUGAAACAGAUACAACUGUAGAUUUUUAAAGGGAACCAAGUGUAUGAAGAUCCUUACCUUUGUUCUGUAUAUUAAUGAGUUUUGGUAGACACAUUUGUUCAACAAAGGUUUUUAAGGAAUGCAUGGAGUUCCUAGAUUCCAAAGAAAAGCAAAAGUUUUUUUCAGAGCUGAUGCUGAAAGUAGAAGGUUUUAUUAAAGUUAUCAAGCAAAAACAUUGAUCGCGACACCAUGAUACAGAGCACAGCUCUCUGUGUUUGUAAGUGCAACUUGGCCUCCUUUGCAAAAAUCAGGAAGGUCUCAUCACAGCUGCGGACUGGAAAUAUUUCAGUUGAACUGAAGGCAAUACAGCGUGUGUUUCCAUGGCAACCUCUUCUUGUGUCUUGAACUUGUCAGCAUCAAAAUAUGACAUUUUAAACUCUGAAGUGUCUACACGUAUCGCUCCUUCUUUCGCCACGAGCCAGACUUGCCAAAACCUGGGCUCCUGCAGCUAGCUGAAGCUAGGGCGAGGUGCUGGAGUCAGCUAUCCUUCAUACAGCCUGCCUGCUGACAAAGGAGGACUAGGGGAAGUUCUGUUCUACUGCUGCUGGGGGAAUUACGGCGACUCAGUAUUCCCCUUUCUUUGCCCCGAUUUGUAGCAAAAGUUGCCUGGGCUAUGGCGUUGUCCUUACAUGAACUCUUCCAAAGCAUUUGCCCCUGCUUUGAUCCAUCUCAGUUCACUUCUGCCUCUUCUGCAUAUGGAGUCUCAAGCUAAGCAGAGCAUUACCCACUACAUCCACCACUUGGGAGCACAGGUGAUCAGACUGCUCUUCAACCAUGGGAAUCAGCUGGUUGGGGAAGAAGUGGAUGAAACCCGUCUCCGUUCCCCAUUUGUAGGAGCUCAGUUAACGUGGCAGUGCUGUGCUGUCUCAGGAGAGGUUUGCCCAGCCGAGUUCAACAAUAAGAUGCAGUUGCAUUAUUUUACUUGCAUGAAUGGCAUUUCCAUCAAUUUUAAAAUUGCUCAAUUGGGCUGGUACAAUUGAAAAAUAACAGAUGAAAGUAAAUCUAAAGUAAUAGUCUUUUUAUCAAGCAUCAGGUUCACGUUUCUCCUUUUUUAUUUGUGGUUUCCUUGGCUCAAUGCGACAUUUUAUUUUUUUUUUGAGCAUGCUAUUAGAAUAAUUGCACAUUAAGAGAGAUCGAGCAGGUCCUAAGAGAGCCUAAAAGCUACAAUUCAGCAAUGUUGGGUAUUCCAAAACUGCUGUAUUUCCUACUUUUAAUCUUAUGCAUAGUUACCUUACCCAGUGUGCAUUGCUUUUUUCUUUGGAAAAGAAGUCAAAGAUUAAAAAAAAUCUUCUUAGUUGUUGGAUUAAGAUUUAUGGAAACUACUGGAAGACAGGUUUCCUGGAGUAGUCUGUGUAUAUGAUAGUUUCCCUAUACUUGUAACAUUAUAUUGUAUAUUCAAGCUAUUCCAAGUACGACCUUUUGCAAAAGACAGUUGAUCUUUUAUGAAACUCACAGAAACUGAAGAUAAGUAUUGAUUAAAUGAAAUUUGGACUGAAUUGUUUAAAUUAUUGUACAUUUAAAAUCCCUCAACUGCUUUAAAAAUGGAAUAAGUUGGCAAAUGGUGCUAAUGCAUCUCCAGAGCAUAUGGGAGAAACGGGUAAAAAAAAAAAAAAGUAAAUCUUCCUUACUUUCAGUACUUACAGGGAGCUUAAUAUCAUUAGGGAAGGAAAAUGUAAAACAUGUGAUAGCAGAUGCCAGACUAACCACAACACUCGAGCUCUCACGAGAAGCCCCCUUUUCAAGCUCUACGUAGCCUUGGCCAAGACAUUCUUUUUGGACCGUCAGUUCCUCAUUCCUGGUCUUAAGCCAGAGGUAAAUUCUCAUGUAUGUGGAAACUUUCAGCAAAACCCAUUCAAUCAUUUCUUGAAUUUUCUCUCUCAUCGGUG